CACGGGUAUACGUGAUGGUCUCUCAUGACGCCAUGUUUUGAUAUAUAUUAUUAUACCCCCUCAGUCCCCCCUAUCCAUAGCCAAAAAGCAAUAUACGUUCUGUCCAGUGUUUUUCAAUGUGCAGUUUUAAUACAGUGUAUAUAUAUUUAUAUCUCUCUUACUCCAAUAAACACACACAACUUACUUCAGUGUUUUUGUUAACAACAAUAUUUUUUUUUUAAUUUUUCUUUCAUUUGCAUUCUUCUGGCUUUUUUUUUUUUUCUACAUUGAGGUUCUUUACACUCAAGUGUAUGUAUAUUCUCCCUCUCUUUUUACUUGAUCAUCAAGAUCCCGUUACAUUGCUUUAUAAUAAUCAAAAAUAGUGUUGAAACAUUGUCGCAUAUAUUUUUUUAUAAUAAAAAAUUAAUGUGAUAAAAAUUUAAAAAUUUAUUAUAAAUUUAGUGAUGAUUGUUUAAAGCCUAGUAUAAUUUAAUAUAAAUAAUUAUCAAUUUGCUUGACAACAGUGUACAUUAAAAUAAUAACAAUAACAAUAAUAAUAAUAAUAUAAUAAAUAAAUAUAUUUUUUUAUUAUCUUGACUGGAUUAUAGUGAAAAUUGUGUUUGUUAAUAAAUAUUAUUCAUUUGCUGAUGCAGAAAAAAGUGAUAAUAUUGUGGGGGGGGAUCCCUGAGCGUCCACAUCACCGUCGUGGUUGGAUCCUAGUGAACAUUGUAUCAAUAAAAUAUAUAUAAUUUAAUUACGUCAUCAAUAUUAUUAUUGUGUUUAUAUUUUAAUUGAUAUAUAAAUAUUCAAUAUAAAUAAACACACUGGCCUCGGGAGAAUUAUUAUUGUUAUUUUUUUUUUAUAUUUUUUUAUUUGUUUAAAAAAUUAUCAUAAACACAAAACAUCUUGAGAGAUAGAUAGAUUUAUAAAAAACAACAUGGAGUUGCGACUACAUUCACCUGCUGGGGCUGAACCCAUUGUUUAUCAGUGGCCACUUACAUCAGGAUCAGGAAAUGAUAAACAUGAUGGUGCACUUGAUGUUGUUGAGACAAUGCGAUGGGUUUGUGAAGAUUUGCCAGAUCUUAAAUUACCAUUGGAAAAUAAUAUACUUGUUAAUUAUGAUACAAGAGAUUAUGAAAGUAUGAAGGGUCUUUGUGAUCGUUUUAAUCGUGCUAUUGAUAGUUUAGUACAAUUGGAAAAAGGUACAAGUUUACCAUCACAAAGAUUAAAUAAACGACCAAGUAGAUGUUUACUUCGUCAUAUACUUCAACAGACAUAUAAUCAGGCAGUUGUUGAACCAGAUAAAUUAAAUCAAUAUGAGCCAUUUUCACCAGAAGUUUAUGGUGAAACAAGUUAUGAAUUAAUUUGUCAAAUGAUUGAUCAAAUUGAAAUAAAUGAAGAGGAUGUAUUUGUUGAUCUUGGUUCUGGUGUUGGACAAGUUGUAUUACAAAUGGCUGCAGCAACAUCCUGUAAAAUAUGUCUUGGUAUUGAAAGAGCAGAUGUGCCUUCACGUUAUGCAAUAAGCAUGGAAUUAAAUUUUAAAAAAUGGCUUAAUUUUUAUGGUAAACGUUGUGGUGAAUAUCGUAUUGUAAAAGGUGAUUUUUUAGCUGAUGAACAUCGUGAAAGUAUAACUGGUGCAACAAUUGUAUUUGUUAAUAAUUUUGCAUUUGGGCCAACUGUUGAUCAUUCAUUGAAAGAACGUUUUGCUGAUUUACGUGAUGGUGCUAAAAUUGUAUCAUCAAAAUCAUUUUGUCCAUUAAAUUUUCGUAUAACUGAUCGUAAUUUAAGUGAUAUUGGUACAAUAAUGCAUGUAUCAGAAAUGACACCAUUAAAAGGUUCAGUAUCAUGGACUGGUAAACCUGUAUCAUAUUAUCUUCAUGUUAUUGAUCGUACAAAACUUGAACGUUAUUUUCUACGUUUAAAAAAUAAUCGUCUUGGUGGAAUAGAUAAUACAGAUACUGAUUCUGUGAUAAAUAAUACUGCCAGUAAUUGUAGUAAAUUGUCAAAUAAAUCAGAACGUGGUGAACGUGCUAAACGUGAUUUAUCAAGACAACUUGAAAGUCCAAAUAAUUCAGAAUUAUUAGGUACAGCAAGUGAUACUGAUGAUGAUAGUAUUAAAACACGUAGACAAUCAUCUAAAAUACGUAGAAAAUUAAAUAGAAAAGUAACAAGUGGUUUACCAAGACAACCACCAAAAGCUAAACAACAACGUGGUAGAGCUGUUAAAAAAACUAAACCUAAAAAAAGUAUAAAUAUAACUGGUUUAGAUUUAUUACAUAAUCAGACAUUACUCAGUACAUCACCACAAGCUAUUGGUAAAAAAUUACCACCAGCACCUGGUUGUGUUGAUCAGCAUUUAUCAUCAUUGUCAUUAUCAUUACAACCACAUUCAACAACUGUACAUGAAGAACUCAGUAUACCAUCAGCACCAGCAGCAACACCAUAUGCACUACAAAUACUUCUUGAUUUAUACAGAGACCAAUUUAUGACGAUGUUUGAAUCAAUGAGAUCACCGACUUACAAAGUUACUGUUAAUAAUGAUUUAACCAAGGAAAGAGAAAGAAAUUCAAAAUUACAAAGUCGUGCUGCACAAUUGGAAAAACAAAUUAAAGUAUUGAUUGAUGAUAGUGUGGCUUUGUUAAAAGCAAGAAUGACAGAGUUGGGAAUUAAUGCAACAUCACCUUGUGAUUUACUAACCAAAGCUAAAGAAAUUGUCUUGAGGCAUAAACAAUUACAGAAUAAAGCCAGUAAAUUACAGGCACAAGUAUCAUCAAUGGAAACUGAACAAAAUCGUUUAUCAACUAUCAGACAUCAAGAGUUGCAAGAAAAAUAUAAUAUAUCUAAUGUUAAUCCACCACAAGUUGUUACACAAGAUUAUAUACUCAAAGAAAUUUCAACAACUCUUUCACAAAGAAAGAAACUUCAUUCACAGGUAUCAAAACUUGAACAAGAAUUAAAUAGUUUGGAGCGAACAACAUCUGAAAAACAAUCAGUUGCAUUGGCACAACAGCAACAGCAACAACAGCUACAACAACAACAACAACAACAGCAACAACAACAACAACAACAACAGCAACAGCAGCAGCAACAACAACAACAGCAGCAACAACGUGAAUCAAUAUCAAAUAAACAUUCUCAAAAUUCUCAUUCACAACAAAAUGGUAAAUCUACAUCAUCAAGAAAACAUCGUGAAAAUCGUUCACGUUCACAAGAAUGGCCAGAUGUGCCAGAUAUUGGAAAAAUUCAAGAAAAUAAUCCUGAAAUUCUUGCUCAAAAAAUACUUGAAACUGGCCGUCAAAUUGAAGCUGGAAGAAUACCAAGUCGUCAAAAUUCAUCAUCUGUUAAUAAUUCAAGUUCAAAUAAUACAAGAGUACGUUUACCACAAACAAAUUUUAAUUUUUCAUCAUCACCACAACCACAAAAUCAUCGUGAAACAACACCAAAUCGUAUUCAAGAACCACCAAGAGUUGCAAACUUUGAGGAUCGUUUAAAAAGUAUUAUUACAAGUGUAUUAAAUGAAGAUCAACAAAAUAGAACAAAACAACAACAACAGCAACAACAUCAUCAACAUCCACAACAACAACAGCAAACACAACAUCAUCAACAACAACAGCAUCAGAAUCAUCAUCAUCAACAACAACACCAUCAAAACCAUCAUCAUCCACAACAACAACAAUCACACAAUUUAACACAACCACAAUCAUCUCAAUUUAAUGAACUUGAUCGUAAACGUACAUUAUCACAAACAACAGGAACACCUGAUUAUACACAAGUGUCACCAGCAAAACUUGCAUUACGUCGACAUUUAUCACAAGAACGUUUAACGUCAUCUUCUUCAUCUUCAUCAACAACAACAACAUCAUCACAUGUAUCAAGUGGUGAUAGAUUAAUAAAUGAUCGUCCAUCAAGUCGUGAACCACGACAAUCACAAAAUCCAUCUGGAUAUUUAGGUACACGAACAAUUGGUGAUCUUGUUAGUGGUGAAAUUGAAAGAACUCUUGAAAUAUCAAAUCAAUCAAUAAUAAAUGCUGCUGUUGAUAUGAGUGCAAUGGCAAGAUCUGAGGCUGUUUAUUCACCAAUAAGUAGACCAACAAGUGCUGAAGGUGAAACUGGUCUUGCAACACUUGCACAUGUUGCUAGUUAUGCACCAAAUUCAGCAGCAGCAGCAGCAGCAGCCGCUGCAGCAGGAUCAACAACAACACCAUCAGCAUCAACAUCAACAACAUCAUCAAGAUCAUCAGUUUUAUUUACACCUGGUAAUCAAGGACAAAGAUAUACACCAGUACAAUUACCACGUGCUGAUAUAAAACCAUAUCAUGAAAGUUAUUUUUCUGAUAAUACAUCACAACCACAAAUUAAUCAAACUCAAUCAGCACCACCAUUACACUCAAUGGGACAACCAUCAAAUGGUGAUGUACCAGUUGAAGGUCUUGCUGCAUCACUUCAUGCUAGAAUUAUUAAUAAUAAUACAAAUAAAAAUGAUAAUGCAAGAAGAUAUCAACCAUAUUCAAGAUAUCCAAGUUGUAGUAGUAGAAGUUCAAAUGACAGUCGAGUACCAUCACCUUCACCAUCACCACAAUUGUCUAGUACAGUUGUUAAAACUGAAUCAUCUGUCAGUACAUCUGGUGCACCUUUGAGCCCAAUGGCUGAGCCACACUCAAAUACAUCAACUCCACUUGUCGAUGAACCUCAUAUGAUUACACAGAGGCAAAGAAAUGGCAUUGGUGAUGAUGAUGCACUGUAGCUGUUUGUUGGUUAUACUAUCACAAUACUCAGAUCUCUCCCGAAAAAAAUUCCUUGAGGCUUGAUUUUGUUAGAGAUUGAGGCCACACACAGGGACAAAUCGAAAAAUGAUAUGAUGGCUGUCUUUAGGGUGGUUCUCGACUCGUGAUGGUGAGACAGAUUGGCAAGAUCGUAUAAGUUCUGGAUUUGAUCGAUUAGUUGCAUUUGCAUCAACUGAACUUGAUAAACGUCGACGUUCAACUGAAGGUGUUAAUACAAGU
rnacentral:misc_RNA from 1 species